AAGCAGUACAAAUCGGUAUCGUUACACGUCAAAUGUGCCGUGCAAGUGCCGUUUUAUAUGAAAUUUUUUUAUAAUUCGUAUUUUCGUUGUUGUGAUAUGAUAAGACAUGAUUAAUAUUUUAUGCGUGACUUAUCUUUUAAUUUUUUUCAUAAUUUUUUUAAAUAAGACGGAUGGUCAAAUGUUGGACACGGCAACCAGGGUUUGUCUUUUU
rnacentral:pre_miRNA from 1 species